rnacentral:rRNA from 1 species
UACGGAGGGGGCUAGCGUUGUUCGGAAUUACUGGGCGUAAAGCGCACGUAGGCGGCUUUGUAAGUUAGAGGUGAAAGCCCAGAGCUCAACUCUGGAACUGCCUUUAAGACUGCAUCGCUUGAAUCAUGGAGAGGUCAGUGGAAUUCCUGGUGUAGCGGUGAAAUGCGUAGAUAUCAGGAGGAACACCGGUGGCGAAGGCGCACAUCUGGCCCGAUACUGACGCUGAGGCGCGAAAGCUAGGGGAGCAAACGGG